rnacentral:miRNA from 13 species
AUUUUUUUAGGUUUUGAUUUUUA